UCAUCUCUGUUGCUCCUUCUGUCAUGAAGCCCCACUUUUCUAGCAGGUCUUUGUGUGUGUGUGUGUGUGUAUGAAUGUUUGAAGCCAUUAGUGGACAGCUAGGAUCACUGAAUGGAGCAGAGCUUAACAAAGCAAAAAAUGCGCACAGAAAAAGAAUAUUAUCUUCAAUAACAUUAAUGAGCACGUUCGAGAAAUAUAGGUUAUUGAUCUUAUAUACUUAGCCCACCCAAGCAUAGAGAAUUACACACUUAGACAAACUAGUUACAUCAUUCAGGAAAAUGAUGAUUCUUGUUCUUCUUCUGUUCCUAAACUUAAUUGACCCUCAGCCCUCAUUGCUGCUGAAAGCUGCAUGGAGAAAGGGGGAACCUCCUGAAUUCUAGGCCCACCACAUGGCCCAAGAUGGAAAGAGCUGUAGCCGCAUGUUCCCUUCCAGGAUGGUGAAGGAGGAGGAAGUGAGUUAGGAAUGUGGGAGGGACAACAAACAGCUUCCUCCAGAAACACAUAGAGAAUUUGCAUCCUAGAGCAAACUCAUCCACAUGCUAAUGAGGCAUGAGGCUCCAACAAUGUUCAAGUCAGAAAUGUGAACACUACAUAUGAUUGAUGAGCUACUAAGCCAGAGAAGCCAAGUCUAGACAUCCAGUGAGACUGAGUCAUCCAAACACCAAGUGAUUCCCAGUUUACCUCUCCUGGCUGGGCUUACAAGGCCAUUUCCUUCUCUGGUCAUCAGAGCAAACAUUCCUUCUGGCCCUGACCUGCUUGUUUCUAGUACUCACUCCCUUCUUGUCUCACCAGGGAGGUCCAGACAUGGAGUUUCAGUGGAGGGGCUGAUGCCUUUUAAUGUUUCACUGUUAUCGUUCACCCCUUGAGUAAAAAGUUAACAUUAGCACCCAUGCAGACUUCCUUGUUGUUUCCGUAGGGUUUCUAAGAAUGACAAGAAUAUCCAUUCCCCGCCCCAUGCCAUUAGGUUCGUGAUAUAAGGACAGUAUCAAUAUUCCAAUUGAACUAAAAAGCUACAUUAUUAUAUGAUUUAUCUUUUUUU